GUUUAUUAAAAAUUUGGUGUUGUGGUUUCCAAGAAACUUAUUCUAAGUCUUAAAUU
rnacentral:tRNA from 1 species